rnacentral:rRNA from 1 species
CCCUGCCAUUUGUACACACCGCCCGUUGCUCCUACCGAUUGAAUGAUCUGGUGAAGUGUUCGGAUUGCGUCGACGAUGGCAGUUUUCCACUGUCGACGUCGUGAGAAGUUCAUUGAACCUUAUAAUUU